GGAUUUACUUAAUGUAUUUUCUCAUUGACAAACUAAUGAUGGCGCGGGUAAUUGGCCUCCAGAUGUUUUCAGUUAGUCAUUUAGAAUAUUUGGCGACCUAGUGUGCCAUAAUUUGAGUCAAGAGACAUGACACCGUAAUGCCUCCUUUCAGAUAGUCUUGACGUGAAAUGACUUCAGAUAGGUUUAUAUCAUUUGAGUGCGACUAUUUUCUCUCCCCUGCGAAAUUCAACUGCAGGAUAUUGUCCGUCACCCUAUAGGCCUAGACUAGGGAAACGCAUUUCCCAAAAGGUCCAUGCGCAGAACACUACCACACAGUCCCUUCCUACGAAUGUGACCAAAGCUGACUUCACGAAUUCCUCGAUGCUCAACGUCAGUACCACGAACGUCAGUACCACGAACGUCAGUACCACGAACGUCAGUACCACGAACGUCAGUACCACGAACGUCAGUACCACGAACGUCAGUACCACGAACGUCAGUACCACGAAUGUCUCCAUUCCUCAAGGAGCCAGUGUGACCUUGCAGUCCAGUGCAUUCACGCUCCUCAUCCCUGUGGUGGGCUCGCUCCUACAGGGCUGCUUCUAGAGGGUUCAUCUGCACUGAACAAAAGCCAAGACUAACAUCGGCAGCCUAGAUGUGCAAAUGUUUUACAAAGAGCACAUUAAUUCUCGGAAGGUAGACAUUUGCGCACCUAAGCUGCGGGAUUCGGCGGCAUGGGCAAAAACACUACUUUGUGCUCGCACCUCCUGGCUGCUUCAAACCGUAGGCCUACACUCUGCUCACUGGCCCCAAGGCCAUGGCCUGGCAACAAGCUGUCUCACUGCAGAAUGGGACAUUUGUCCAUAUACCUUUUUGAGGUUUAGGCAUUAAUUCACAAAUGGGUAAGGUUUGGGAUAGGGUCAAGUCAUUUAAAGUGCCUAGCACUGGGAUUGAACACAUGACUAAUUAAUGGUAAUAGUGCUCACCGUUGCCCCUAGUGGCCAAUUUUGAAGUAAUCUCCUGACAUCCUGCUUACCUGGAAAGAUGUCUAAUUUUGCAGUGGUUCUUUAGUGACCUGGCUGUUGCCUCCAUGGAGGCAGGCCAUGAGGCUCUAUUAAACUCUAUUCUUUGACUCAAUAUUGUGUAAUUGCAGACUGCAAUUCAUGGGGUUUCUGGAUAUCAGGAGAAGCACAUUGGUGCCUGGUUUUCCUGGUAAAACACCCUGAAUUUGUCAGUUCUGGUGUUGAGACCGUUUCUUGACAUUUGUUUACAAGGCAGGUAAGGAUAGUUAACGUGGUCGGUAAGGAUAGUUAACGUGGUCGGUUAGGUGACUUUGUGUGCCAGGUUAGGAGAAUGAGGUAAAGUGUUAGCUUUAGAUACUGUUGUCCCCAACGUGAACUACAUGGCCACGGACCAGUGGUGCGCGUCAAAGUGCGUUUCUUAAUCAAGUUACGCCCCUACUCCUUUGCUUCACUUGGUCCCACUGUUCCUGAUUUCAGACAGCAGAGUUUAUCUUGUGUACAUUUUGGCUGUGCCUGGGGAAAUCAGCAACUGUUUGAGGUGCAUUGGAAAAUAACAGCCUAUAUUUGUCUGAUCUGUGGCACUUAUGUCCUUAACAGUGCUAUUCUUAAUCCUGCAACUGCAAUGGAUACUUUGUCAGAGGCUUGAUGUAGCCUACACUUGUGAUGAACUUAUUGCAUUUUAUAUUGUAAACAUGUGACUUAUGUAAGUCAGUGAUGCUUUUAGAUCUCUUUAUGUCAGGUUCAAUAAAGCUUUGAAAUGUGUUUGUCAUGAUUAAUAUUUAAUGUCCUUGUACAAUAAAAUAUGACAUUUAAUAUAACUAACUUAUCCUGUCAAUUCCAAAGCUUGGCAUUCAUUGGCUUUUCUUGUCUGUCUUACAAAUCCAAUGCUGCAGGUCUUUCUCAA
ensembl:lncRNA